GCCCUAGUAGCUCAGUGGAUAGAGCAGUCCUUUAGCGAAGAGACAGGUCGUAGGUUCGAUUCCUACCUAGGGUA
rnacentral:tRNA from 1 species